rnacentral:tRNA from 1 species
CCCGACUUAGCUUAGACUGGCUAGAGCGGCCGGCUGUAGACCGGCAGAUCCCCGGUUCAAAUCCGGGAGUCGGGA